AUAUAGGUCAAGCUACAAAGGGCGCAUGGUGAAUGCCUUGGCAUCAGGAGCCGAUGAAGGACGUGAUAAGCUGCGAUAAGCUUCGGGUAGGCGCACAUAGCCUGAGAUCCGAAGAUCUCCGAAUGAGGAAACUCACAUGGGAAACCCCAUGUAUCAUUAAGUGAAUACAUAGCUUAAUGAAGGUAACCCAGGGAACUGAAACAUCUAAGUACCUGGAGGAAGAGAAAGAAAAAUCGAUUUUCUUAGUAGCGGCGAGCGAAAGGGAAAGAGCCCAAACCGGAAACUUGUUUCCGGGGUUGUGGACAUAACAUAAAAGUGGAGGCUAUUGUAACUGAAGAGAACUGGAAAGUUCCACCGUAGAAGGUAAUAGUCCUGUAAGUGAAACGAGAAGACCACGAGUUAUGAUCCAGAGUACCACGAGACACGUGAAACCUUGUGGGAAGCAGGGAGGACCACCUCCCAAGGCUAAAUACUACCUGAUGACCGAUAGUGAAGCAGUACCGUGAGGGAAAGGUGAAAAGAACCCCGGGAGGGGAGUGAAAUAGAACCUGAAACCGUGUGCCUACAACCGCUCAGAGCCCCUUAUGAGGGUGAUGAGGUGCUUUUUGUAGAACGAGCCAACGAGUUACGGUAUGUAGCAAGGUUAAGUACUUAAGGUACGGAGCCGAAGGGAAACCGAGUCUGAAUAGGGCGACUAGUUGCAUGCCGUAGACCCGAAACCGGGUGACCUAUCCAUGGCCAGGUUGAAGCGAGGGUAAAACCUCGUGGAGGACCGAACCACGUUGCUGUUGAAAAAGCAUGGGAUGAGCUGUGGAUAGCGGAGAAAUUCCAAUCGAACCCGGAGAUAGCUGGUUCUCUCCGAAAUAGCUUUAGGGCUAGCGUCGAGUAUGAGUAGUGGAGGUAGAGCACUGAAUGGGCUAGGGGGCAUAGCGCUUACCGAACCUUAUCAAACUCCGAAUGCCACAUACUUUGAGCUCGGCAGUCAGACUACGAAUGAUAAGAUCCGUGGUCAAAAGGGAAACAGCCCAGAUCGUCAGCUAAGGUCCCAAAGUGUAAGUUAAGUGGGAAAGGAUGUGAGAUUUCUAAGACAACUAGGAUGUUGGCUUAGAAGCAGCCAUUCAUUAAAAGAGUGCGUAAUAGCUCACUAGUCGAGAGAUCUUGCGCCGAAAAUGUAACGGGGCUAAACUUACCACCGAAGCUACGGGCUUGAAC
rnacentral:rRNA from 1 species